GACAGAGGAGCCAAGCGUUGUCCGGAAUUACUGGGCGUAAAGAGCUCGUAGGCGGUUUGUCGCGUCGACUGUGAAAACCUGGGGCUUAACUCUGGGCCUGCAGUCGAUACGGGCAGACUUGAGUUCGGUAGGGGAGACUGGAAUUCCUGGUGUAGCGGUGAAAUGCGCAGAUAUCGUCAAGAACACCGAUAGCGAAGGCAGCUUACCAAGCUGUAACUGACACUGAGGCGCGACAGCGUGGGGAGCAAACAGG
rnacentral:rRNA from 1 species